rnacentral:lncRNA from 1 species
GUUAUGACCGGUACAACGUACCAACGGAGGAGGCCCAAUGGGCAGGGUUAAUUACGGGCUUAGCCCAAGUUAUCUUACCUAUCUUAGAAGUCCAAGUUAUAUUAGAGUCCAAGUUAGAGUCCAAGUUAUCUAGGGUUUAGUGGAGGCUGUCCUCCUUUAUAAACACAUGUACCCCUUCGAUAUUAAUCAGACAAUAAACAGUAUAUUCUGUUGUCGUCUCCCUCAGGAGACGAGAGCCUCAAACCCUAGCCGCCUCUCUCUCUCUCUCUCUCUCUCACGCCGCGACGGCGCCCAACCGCCGGCGCCGGCGUCCCCAACCUCGCAGCCCGCACUUCCACCCCUACAACCU